rnacentral:rRNA from 1 species
CAAGUCGAACGCGAAAGUGGAGCAAUCCAUGAGUAGAGUGGCAAACGGGUGAGUAACACGUGGGUGACCUGCCUUCGAGUGGGGGAUAACGUCCCGAAAGGGACGCUAAUACCGCAUAACAUCCUGCCUUUGAAGAGGCGGAGAUCAAAGCUGGGGAUCGCAAGACCUAGCGCUGGAAGAGGGGCCCGCGUCCGAUUAGCUAGUUGGUGAGGUAACGGCUCACCAAGGCAACGAUCGGUAGCCGGCCUGAGAGGGCGGACGGCCACACUGGGACUGAGACACGGCCCAGACUCCUACGGGAGGCAGCAGUGGGGAAUUGUUCGCAAUGGGCGCAAGCCUGACGACGCAACGCCGCGUGGAGGAUGAAGAUCUUCGGGUCGUAAACUCCUUUCGAUCGAGACGAACGGCUUCCGGGUGAACAAUCCGGGAGAGUGACGGUACCGAGAGAAGAAGCCCCGGCUAACUCCGUGCCAGCAGCCGCGGUAAUACGGGGGGGGCAAGCGUUGUUCGGAAUUACUGGGCGUAAAGGGCUCGUAGGUGGCCAACUAAGUCAGACGUGAAAUCCCCCGGCUUAACCUGGGAACUGCGUCUGAUACUGGAUGGCUUGAGUUUGGGAGAGGGACGCGGAAUUCCAGGUGUAGCGGUGAAAUGCGUAGAUAUCUGGAGGAACACCGGUGGCGAAGGCGGCGUCCUGGACCAACACUGACACUGAGGAGCGAAAGCCAGGGGAGCAAACGGGAUUAGAUACCCCGGUAGUCCUGGCCCUAAACGAUGAAUGCUUGGUGUGGCGGGUAUCGAUCCCUGCCGUGCCGAAGCUAACGCAUUAAGCAUUCCGCCUGGGG